AUUGAACGCUGGCGGCAGGCCUAACACAUGCAAGUCGAACGAGUGGCGGACGGGUGAGUAAUGUCUGGGAAACUGCCGGAUGGAGGGGGAUAAGUACUGGAAACGGUAGCUAAUACCGCAUAACAUCAGAUGUGCCCAGAUGGGAUUAGCUGGUUGGUGGGGUAACGGCUCACAUAGGCGACGAUCCCUAGCUGGUCUGAGAGGAUGACCAGCCAAAUUGGAACUGAGACACGGUCCAGAUGACUACGGGAGGCAGCAGGGGGGAAUAUUGCACAAUGGGCGCAAGCCUGAGGCAGCCAGGCCGCGUGUAUGAAGAAGGCCUUCGGGUUGUAAAGUACUUUCAGCGGGGAGGCGUUACCUGCAGAAGAAGCACCGGCUAACUCCGUGCCAGCAGCCGCGGUAAUAC
rnacentral:rRNA from 1 species